rnacentral:rRNA from 1 species
AUUGAACGAUGGCGGCAGGCCUAACACAUGCAAGUAGAACGAGUGGCGGACGGGUGAGUAAUGUAAGGGCAACGGGCUGAUGGAGGGGGAUAAGUACUGGAAACGGUAGCUAAUACCGCAUAACAUCGGAGGUGCCAAGAUGGGAUUAGCGAGUAGGUGGGGUAAAGGCUAACCUAGGCGACGAUCCAUAGAUGGUCUGAGAGGAUGACUAGCACGUCUGGAACUUGGCUACGGUCCAAACUCCUACGGUAUGCAGCAGUUGGGAUGAUUGCACAUUGGGCGUAAGCCUGCUGCAUCCAUUCCGCGUGUAUGAAGAAGGCCUUCGGGUUUUAAAGUACUUUCAGCCGGGAGUCGUUACCGCCAGAAGAAGCACAGGAUAACUCCGUGCCAGCAGCCGCGGUAAUUC